AGCCGAUGGACAAAGACUGGGUGGAGAAGGCAGCGUCUGACGUGCUGCGAUUUGCAUAAGCGCCGAUAUAACAACUCCGGCGGACAGCCAACUCUCCUCAGUCUCCAGUGAGCACCGCUUAAGUCUGCGUUGAGAUAUAGACGGACGAUAGUUGGGACAAUGGCUGAUGAGAAACCCAAGGAACUUGAGGAAGGCUUGCAGCAGGAGAUCACUUCAUUCACGAAGUCUAACCUUAAAGAAACAAAGACCAAAGAGAUGCGGAUCUUGCCAGACGCAGCCACAAUUGAAGCAGAAAAACAGGCGGAAAAAGAAGCAGCAAAAUGAAAGUGACCUUUCUUUCCUGAUUUUUGCACUGUACAUUCCACAAGCAUUGCCUUCUAGCUAUGUAUUUCCUUUUUCAAAAAAACUUUGGAUAUUGAGUGAACUGGUUGGCUCCUACUCCCAUCAACCUCCCUCCUAUUCCCAUCUAUCCUUUCUACCCCAAAAUCUAUCUUCUCCCACUUGCCCCCCCCCCUUUCUUUUUUGUUUUGGAAAGAGGGCAGGGGCAGAAGGGGAAAUUUAACUACUGACUGUAUGGCUGGCUUAGUACUUCUGAUGGCACUAAGAGCUUGCAUGUCUUGAGAGGUGCCUGGAAAAGACUGCAGGAACCUUUAAUAACCAAAUGCAUGUGAAUGGAGUGAAGAUGUCAAGGACCUAUGUUCAGUUCAAUCGAAUCAACUACGUAGAGUGCCAUUUUGUUAGGUCUCUUGGCAUGCACAGUAACUGAUUUUUGGUUUUUGUUUUGAUAUGCAAAUAAACAAACAUUUGAAAUUUA